rnacentral:lncRNA from 1 species
GCAAUGUAAGUCCUAUUUCUUCCCUUUGCAUAUAGGCAAAGUGUCAGGCUCCAGCCUGAGUUCCAGCACAACCAAGGCUAGGAUGGAAACAUGAAUGGCAAGCUGGAGGACCUGGCGGGGCAGGCCUACAGCGAGCCAUGGGUUGAAGAUCUGAGUUGUGCCCUGAGAGGACACUCAUUGUGACCUAAGAAGAAAGAGGCAGUACAAAGUGGACCCAGUUCUAACACCUCCUUGGGAUAGGGCCUCCUGCUCCAUCAUGUCCUCUCUGUAGCCCAAGGACACGUCUGCAUCCACGGCACAGAGGGUAAAACCAGAUGGUAGUUUCAUCAGAAGUUCUGUAGGCUCCCCAGCACAAGCAGCACUGUCUGACAUCUAACAGGAUGUGUUCCUAAAUCCCAGCACCAAGCUUUGGCAUCUUGAGAGGACCCAGUAGGAGAAUGGAAUGCCUCCCGGGAAAGGGCAGCAGUAGCUGACCACAGAAACACGGAAAGCUGCAGAGGCUGCUCAAGACAUCUCUUAGCACAUGAGACUCGCAGAAAUACUUGGGGAGGGAUGGAGACCUGGUAAUGAAAAGGCUUGGCAAGAGCUACUUAAAUAGCG